CUCCCAUUACAAGCUAUGGAACAGCAUAUUCUUAUUUAUUGGCAAAGCUGUCUCCAUUUAUUUGGUGCCUGUUUAUUUGCCCAGAUAAUAUUC